UUAAGAAUUUAAUGGUGGUAAUGAUAUAUGUUUGGAGAAUGAUUACCUGUUAUACGACACAGGCCCCUAUUAUGGUGCCUUGUAUGUUCUUAUAAGAGAGGGCGUGUCGAUAAAUAGUUAUUGCUAAUGGAAACUGCCUAUCCAGAAGUGAAUGUGGUAGACAAUGUCUAUAUCCAUAUGGGUCCUACGCCAGCUUUUGAAAGCAUUUGACUUUAAAAGUAUUGUCAUCGAAAGAUAAUUUACUUCAAGAUCCACAAAUACCUCUCUCUGUAACCCAACCUUAGCUAUGGUUGUUAUUUCACUUAGCUGCUAAUGGAUUCGGAACUGGUGACCGUUUUAUGAAGUGCUAUGUAAACUGAUACAUAUUGGAACAUCCAGUUGACGACAUCGCAAAUAUAUCAUUUAGAGAUCAGAUCUUCGACCUUAAAAAUAUUUUCUUUCUAAUGUAUAUCUUAAGCUUAGCCUACAUUACUGGUUUAUCUCUAUGGAAAUCACAGCAAGCAAAGCGAGGUGUUCUCGAUCAGAUGGGUUCCAAGAAAAUCUAAAUCGUGUCCCGACUAAAGAGGUGUUUAAAUAAGAACUUGUUCUGAUAUUUUGAUAAAUCCAAAAGAGAAUUAUUUUAUUUAUAAGAUUGGACUUGAUGGUGAUGUUGGUGGCUUCUCGUUCGCGGAUAAUCGUCGAAAUCCACGUACAGUUCGUCUCCAGGGUGGACAUGGACAGCGUGAGUGAAUCCUACCCAAAGGCACCCGUCGAGGUCUCAAACCUUUCGCCGAUUAUAAGCCCAGCGUGAACUUUCCGACGGGCCCGAAACGAGCUGAGAUGUUUAAACAACGAAAAAAAUCUGACAUCCAUUUCUUAUGGGGAAUUCUUCCUUUCGUCUCCAUCGCCCCUCAGUUGUCACCUUGACGUGCUCAUUCGAAUUGGUGAAAGAAGGAUGAUAGCAGUGAUCCUAUCCCUCCAUGAAUUGUUACUGAUUGGGAACAACAAGCCCAGUAAUGGAGUACUGAGGACUAUUGGAAUUGUAAUAUAGCAUAUUUUUAUUUUAUUUUAACUUAUUUUCUCGAAGAUAUUAGCUCUACAGCUACACUGUAAAUUUCGAGCAUAAAUAAAGUAUAUGUAUCUUUAUA